GGAGUUAGCCGGUGCUUCUUCUGUGAGUGAUGUCCUUCCUGCCGGCUAUUAACCCGCAGGCCUUCUUCCUCACUGAAAGUGCUUUACAACCCGAAGGCCUUCUUCACACACGCGGCAUGGAUGGAUCAGGGUUGCCCCCAUUGUCCAAUAUUCCCCACUGCUGCCUCCCGUAGGAGUCUGGGCCGUGUCUCAGUCCCAGUGUGGCUGAUCAUCCUCUCAGACCAGCUACGGAUCGUCGCCUUGGUGAGCCGUUACCUCACCAACCAGCUAAUCCGACAUAGGCUCAUCCGAUAGCGCGAGGCCCGAAGGUCCCCCGCUUUCCCCCGUAGGGCGUAUGCGGUAUUAGCCUGGGUUUCCCCAGGUUAUCCCCCACUACCGGGCAGAUUCCUAUGCAUUACUCACCCGUCCGCCGCUCGCCACCAGGGAGCAAGCUCCCCGUGCUGCCGCUCGACUUGCAUGUGUUAGGCCUGCCGCCAGCGUUCAAUCUGAGCCAUGAUCAAACUCUGA
rnacentral:rRNA from 1 species